AUUUAGCCUGAUAUACGUGACUAUUAAAAACUCUUUCACUUCACCCACUCACUAUUGAUAAUUUGAGGCUAUAAAUAUCGAUGAUGGCAAUCAUAAAUUGUAUCCAAGGCUAUAGGAAAAUUAAAGUUUAUCUAGCUACACGCAAUUAUGAAGGCCACUCUUAUUGCAUUCUUACUGUUGACUUCAUUUGUCUUACUUCCCACUUCAACUACUCUAGCACGAUCACUAUCUGAUCAGAAGGGAGGAACAAGCUGCGCUAGUGACCCUUAUCUUAGAGGUCGUCGUUGCUUUCCAGCUCCACCGAAGCCAUGCGAUCCAUACUACCGUAAUUGCGCUCCACCCGAGCAACCAUGAAAUGAGAGAGAAGAAUAUCAAUAAAUAAAUUAAACUAUGUAGUUUGAAUAAUUGGUAUAUACCGCAUCUUUAUUGUAACACAAUUUGUGCUACAACUUUCUGGUAUAUAUCCUUGUCCUUUGGUUGAUAAAGUUGUGUGCUUUUCCAGUUUAAAGUUUCAAUAUAUAAACAUGUACUGUUGUGAAAUUAAUGUAUUCAAGGAAUGCCUUUUAUAUGUCAAUCCAAUAAAUGAAAACUCCAGUAAUGAAUA